CUCGAUGAGUAGGGCGGGACACGUGGUAUCCUGUCUGAAUAUGGGGGGACCAUCCUCCAAGGCUAAAUACUCCUGACUGACCGAUAGUGAACCAGUACCGUGAGGGAAAGGCGAAAAGAACCCCGGCGAGGGGAGUGAAAAAGAACCUGAAACCGUGUACGUACAAGCAGUGGGAGCACAGGUUUACCUGUGUGACUGCGUACCUUUUGUAUAAUGGGUCAGCGACUUAUAUUCUGUAGCAAGGUUAACCGUAUAGGGGAGCCGGAGGGAAACCGAGUCUUAAUUGGGCGUUAAGUUGCAGGGUAUAGACCCGAAACCCGGUGAUCUAGCCAUGGGCAGGUUGAAGGUUGGGUAACACUAACUGGAGGACCGAACCGACUAAUGUUGAAAAAUUAGCGGAUGACCUGUGGCUGGGGGUGAAAGGCCAAUCAAACCGGGAGAUAGCUGGUUCUCCCCGAAAGCUAUUUAGGUAGCGCCUCGUGAAUUCAUCUCCGGGGGUAGAGCACUGUUUCGGCUAGGGGGCCAUCCCGGCUUACCAACCCGAUGCAAACUGCGAAUACCGGAGAAUGUUAUCACGGGAGACACACGGCGGGUGCUAACGUCCGUCGUGAAGAGGGAAACAACCCAGACCGCCAGCUAAGGUCCCAAAGUCAUGGUUAAGUGGGAAACGAUGUGGGAAGGCCCAGACAGCCAGGAUGUUGGCUUAGAAGCAGCCAUCAUUUAAAGAAAGCGUAAUAGCUCACUGGUCGAGUCGGCCUGCGCGGAAGAUGUAACGGGGCUAAACCAUGCACCGAAGCUGCGGCAGCGAACGUAUCACCCAAGACAACUUUACGGAGUUGACGAUUGACGGAGCGAAGCGACGUCAAAGCGUUCAUUAAAGUCGAGUUGGCUUAGGGAUACGUUCGUUGGGUAGGGGAGCGUUCUGUAAGCCUGUGAAGGUGUGUCGUGAGGCAUGCUGGAGGUAUCAGAAGUGCGAAUGCUGACAUAAGUAACGAUAAAGCGGGUGAAAAGCCCGCUCGCCGGAAGACCAAGGGUUCCUGUCCAACGUUAAUCGGGGCAGGGUGAGUCGACCCCUAAGGCGAGGCCGAAAGGCGUAGUCGAUGGGAAACGGGUUAAUAUUCCCGUACUUGGUGUUACUGCGAAGGGGGGACGGAGAAGGCUAUGUUGGCCGGGCGACGGUUGUCCCGGUUUAAGCGUGUAGGUGUGUGUUCCAGGUAAAUCCGGUUCACUUUAACACUGAGGCGUGACGACGAGGCACUACGGUGCUGAAGCAACAAAUGCCCUGCUUCCAGGAAAAGCCUCUAAGCAUCAGGUAACAUCAAAUCGUACCCCAAACCGACACAGGUGGUCAGGUAGAGAAUACCAAGGCGCUUGAGAGAACUCGGGUGAAGGAACUAGGCAAAAUGGUGCCGUAACUUCGGGAGAAGGCACGCUGACACGUAGGUGAAGUGAUUUACUCAUGGAGCUGAAGUCAGUCGAAGAUACCAGCUGGCUGCAACUGUUUAUUAAAAACACAGCACUGUGCAAACACGAAAGUGGACGUAUACGGUGUGACGCCUGCCCGGUGCCGGAAGGUUAAUUGAUGGGGUCAGCG
rnacentral:rRNA from 1 species